rnacentral:rRNA from 1 species
UACAGAGGAGCCAAGCGUUGUCCGGAUUGACUGGGCGUAAAGCGCACGUAGGCGGACUGUUAAGUCGGGGGUGAAAUCCUGGGGCUCAACCUCAGAAUUGCCUCCGAUACUGGCAGUCUCGAGUGCGGGAGAGGUGAGUGGAAUUCCCAGUGUAGAGGUGAAAUGCGCAGAUAUCGGGAGGAACACCAAUGGCGAAGGCAGCUCGCUGGGACGUGACUGACGCUGAGACGCGAAAGCGUGGGGAGCGAACGGG